rnacentral:rRNA from 1 species
UACGUAGGGAGCAAGCGUUGUCCGGAAUCAUUGGGCGUAAAGCGCGCGUAGGUGGCCCCAUAAGUCCGCUGUGAAAGUCAAAGGCUCAACCUUUGAAAGCCGGUGGAUACUGUGGGACUAGAGUACGGAAGAGGCGAGUGGAAUUCCUGGUGUAGCGGUGGAAUGCGCAGAUAUCAGGAAGAACACCAAUGGCGAAAGCAGCUCUCUGGGACGGUACUGACGCUGAGACGCGAAAGCGUGGGGAGCGAACAGG